rnacentral:snRNA from 1 species
CAUCACUUCAAGGUAUCUUGAUAAAUUUGGAACUAUACAGAGAAGAUUAGCAUAGUUUCUGCGCAAGGAUGACAUGCACUUUUAGAAAAUAUAUUCAACAAAAAAUUCUCCAAAUUUUU